UACGUAGGGGGCAAGCGUUGUCCGGAAUCAUUGGGCGUAAAGAGCGUGUAGGCGGCCCGGUAAGUCCGCUGUGAAAGUCCAGGGCUCAACCCUGGGAUGCCGGUGGAUACUGUCGGGCUCGAGUCCGGAAGAGGAGUGUGGAAUUCCUGGUGUAGCGGUGAAAUGCGUAGAUAUCCGGAGGAACACCAGUGGCGAAGGCGGCUUCCUGGACCGACACUGACGCUGAGGCGCGAAAGCUAGGGGAGCAAACGGG
rnacentral:rRNA from 1 species